GUCGACACCAACAUUACUGUUUUUGGUUUCCUCAUCAUGCACGACACCGUUACAGGGAAAGAGGCGGGGAGAGAAGAGCAGAUCUCCGAUGGGAGGGAAGGAGGAAUAUGUAGAGGCAGAUAAUGCAGAGGCAAUAAUCACUAGAAUCGAACACAAAUCUCGCAAGAUCGAGAGCUUACUUAAACAGUUCAAAUCAGUGGAAGCUCUCAAAACCGCCCUUGAAGGUUCGCCCCCCAAUACCCGAGACGAACGAUGCAAGUCUGCGAAUUGGAUAGUGGUGCACAGGGCGAUUAUGGCCAUAAAAGAUGUGGAUGGGAUGUUCUCUACUUUGGACCCUGAGUACUACGAUAUUCUUAUGAAGUACUUGUAUAGGGGUUUGUCUACUGGAGAUCGAACCACAUGCGACCAGUGUCUACGUAUACAUGAAAAGUUGACAGAGAAAGCUGGCUUGGGUUGCAUAUUGCGUGUCCUUGCAGACACCUGUGAAUACUGUCUGACUUCAUCUUUAACUGCUCCAUGCGUCUAGAACUUUUGUUUGAGAGAAUCGUUUCCCUUCUCAGAGAAGAAAUAUCUUUGCCGUUCGAUCCUAUCAAACAAUAUAUGAUUUGGUGCUAUGCUUAUCUCAAUCAGAAGAAGUCAAUAAAUACAGAGGCAGGAUCCAGGGAGUAGGAUACGAUCAUCAUCCAGAUCCGUGAACAGGGCUCUGGUUUUCUUAAUCGCCCUCGUGCUGGAAACCAUCUCGGAGGCGGCAAAAAUAGGUCCCACACCUAUGAAAAUUAAUUAAUGUUAAAAAUUAUAUUAAAUUAAAUUAAUACUUUUAAUAUUU